CAUGCACAAACACACAUACAAAGCAAAACAAACAAAAAAAGAACAGGAAACAACACAAAAAAGACACUUACAAAUACAAAAACCUUGCACUAACAGAAUUUCCUCUGAGGAAGCAAGAAUAAUUAUUAACGUUACAACAGAAACCAAAAUGAAAAAGGUAACAAUAACUCAACUUGAAGCAGAUAGGCUACAGCAGCAGAAAAACACACCUGUCAGCUAAUAACAGGCUACAGUUUACUCUGGCUCACCAUAACUGAACACCAGAUUGUAAAAAUGUUUCCUGUUCUGAUGAGUCGAUUUCUGCUGCAACAUUCAGAUUGUGAAGUCAGAAUUUGGCACAAACAACAUGAAAGCAUGGAUCCAUUCUGUCUCGUAUUAGAGGUUUAACCUGGUGGUGGUGGUGUAAUGGUGUGGGGGAUUUUCCUGGCACACUUUGAGCCCUUUAGUGCAUUUGUUACCAUUGAAAUCAAUCUAGUCUUAGCAAGAUGUAAACAAUGAACUAAUUUUACACUUAGGAGUCCAAAGUCAAAAACAUAACCAAUCAAAUGGAUAAUGACAUCCUGUUUCAUAAACUUAACGUUUGUAUACAGUUGAAAGGUUUCGCCCUCUUCUUCUUAAACACACAGAGAGGCAUCUAAAUGCUGAUUUCACACUUUUUUUCACAAUUUUUUUAUUUGUUCUAAAACCCUCUUAGUAUUUGAGUAAAUAUGCCAAGAACUACAUCUUCUGUAUAGAGUCAGAUUCUCACACAUCAUUAAAGGAUGGAUGUUUGCUUUGGUUGUUGCACAUUAAUGAUUCCAUUUCAUUUUCCUGCAUUUGAAAUGUGAAUAAGUUAAUUAUAAAUGAAUAUGCAAAAUGAUUUUUAAAAAGGACUUUGAAUUUUACACUCUGCCAUUAAUUUACUAAUCAGCCUUCGUCUCAUAUUCCAUUUAAUCUUCUUAUGUCUGUGACACCACAAUCCUGGAAAGAGCACUAAUUUCUGUGAAGAGCCCAUCAGAAAUAUCCCUGUACAACUGUCCACUGGUUUAGGAGUGAUGGUGUGUCUGAUCUGACACAAUCAUCACCUCAGCACAAGUGAAUGAUGGCUGUCUAUUUUCUGCUUCUGCUGACCUUUCAUAGACAAAAACAUAGAUGAAUUAUGUCAAACAAGCCAGUUUAAAAAGUAGACAUGACUACAGUGCUUGUUUUUUAAUCUGCAAGUACUUUUCUUUUGAUGCUUUUAGACCAUCAAUAAAAAACUUUUAAUAGCAGCACACGUUGCCUCAGUUCUUUAGAAAUUACAAAUCAUUAAAAAAGAAGAAGAAAACACUAAAUUUUAGAGCUAUAUAGAACGAAUGUUCUAAGGAGUCAGGAACGACUCUGAACAUCCUGCUUUUGACUGAAAGGUGACUGAAAUGAUCUGUCAGGGGCUGAGUCUGUGACCCAGCAUUUUGAGUUUAUUUUGUAUUUUUGAUUUCUUAUGUUAUAUUGGAAAUAUGUUAAGUUCUUGUGUUGUAUUAUUAGUUAGGAUUUAGUUGAGUUUUAUUUUAGUUUUUCAUCUAUGUUUCUUGAUUUAUAAGUCUUUUCCUGUCCUCUAUGCAGUCUGUCUUGACAUCGGUGUUUUUCUUUCAGUUAUCUCGGUGCGUUAGUGUCUCCCAGUGUUCCAUGUUUUAAUUGUCAAGCUUGUGUUGUCAUGUCUACAUCUCUCUGUGUUUCCUGUUUUAUUUUGAAGAGUCUGGUGUUUCCAUGUUCAAAGUGUUUUGUUUUAAUUUCCCCCCUGUGGUGCCAUGUUCAUUCGUGUCAACUGUGCUUCCCCAGGUGUUUCCACUUCCCUCAUUCUCCUUCUGUGUAUUUAAGUCCUCUGUCUUCCUCUGUUCUUUGUUGGGUUGUCGGUUUGUCUUCAGGUCAGGUCAGGUCAGGUCAGGUCACAGAGUUUUCCCUCAUGCUCAUGUUUUUUUUUCAUGUCAUGUUCCUGUUCAGUUUCAUGUUCUCGUCUCUCGUCAUUGUUUCGUAGUUUAGUUCUUUCCCAGUUUAGAUUUUGGUUUAGUUUUGUCCUUGUUUUGCUUUGCCUUGUUUUUCUGUUUUUGAACAUCAGCCUGAAAUUAUCGGCUUGCUUUUUGUUCAAACAUCAGUUCACUUCUUUCGUGUCUAAUUUUGGGUCCCCUCCAUAAACACACCAGUGCACCCCGCCGUGACAGGAUCUAUUGAUGUACUGAUCUACUGAUGGCUUUUCUGCACUUAUAUCUAAUUCUGAUCAUUAGUUGCUUUUUUUCCUUUCCUUUCUUUCUAUUUUAUAUAUAUUUAGUUUGUUAAGCAGUGUUUAUACUAUACAUGUGUUUCUCCCACCAGGUCUUCUGUUGACGAAAGCACUUUUUUCCAAGAUUUUAUAAAAUGUUAAACUCCCAAUUCCUUUUUGGAUGUUUGUUGCGUACUGACACUAACAAAUGGGCACCUUUCAAUGUGCCUAAAGCUUUUUACACCAAAGACACAGAAAAUCAAACCUCAGUGUGUGGCACUAAAUGUAAAACGUCUGACACAACCACAUAAAUGGAUUUUUUCAACAAUUAUUCACUGAUGAUUUUAAAAGGGAAACCACACUUCCUGAAUUAUGUCAGUAUGUCAGUAUGUACAAUUUUGAAUAUGAGACAUUACAGAAAUGUCAUAUAGUAAGACAUCUGCCAAAGUGGCAGUAACAUUAAAAAUAAAUAUAAACAUACUGAUGCAGAAUAGCUGAUUUUAUUUAUUGUGCCCUCAGAUUGGUUUUUCCUUGUGACUCUGUAUUAGCCUGCUUUUCUUCCUGACAAUACCCCCAAGCACCUCCGUUCUCUGUCUCCUUCAAUUUCAAUCUGUCUGGUUCCCCUUCUCUCAUGAAGUUCUAGAGAUCACAGUCUAGCUGUAUCGGGAAAUAGUGUCAUUGAUCCAGGAAACCAGA